AAAUGGAAUUUUAUCUAGUUGAUAUUUUAAGGGGGUCAUUUUUUUAUUUUUUUAAACAGUUUUCAUAAUAAUCGGUGACCAAUAGACGAAUAAUGACGUACGGUGAUGGCGAUUUCUCAACCAUGGCUGAACUAACGUCGAGAUGCAUGGCUGCACAUUUUAUGUAUUAUUUUAAAAUAAAUUGUUGCACACUAAAUUUUGUCUCAUCGUAAGUUAAUAUACUCGAGCCAUUAUUUGCCAAUCUAACUAUGAUUACAUCUAAUAGGAUCUUUGAUCUAAACU